ACUCAGAGAUGCUUUACUUGCGCACACCUAACUAAUUGCCCUGUAAGGACGAUAGCUGUGAGUAGGCCUUGUACCUGUGGAACCAAGGAAACGUCUGCUGAAUUCAGAAAUUCAGAAGCUGGAUCCUGCCCUCUGGCCCUCUGGGACUGAGGAAUUGUACCUUAGGGGUGCACACCUUGGAGAAAGCACACACCUCCAGUUUGUUGGACAGCAGGAUCAAAAACCAACCCACCAACACCUUAAAAACAUAUGUAUUUAUUUUAUGGAGGCAUCCUCUGAUAAAGAAUGCUAAGACCUUACCAAAGAUUUCACAGGGACACAGAAGACAAGCAGGGAAUGAAGAUCCAGCCUGCAACCAUCUUAGGCUUAAAAGCCAUCUUAUCAUAAAGACAAAGGAGGUCCAUUCCUAUUUAUGAUUAAACUUCUGUUUUUC
ensembl:antisense Gm14167 predicted gene 14167